rnacentral:rRNA from 1 species
GAUGAACGCUAGCGGCAGGCUUAAUACAUGCAAGUCGUGGGGCAGCAUGACUGUAGCAAUACAGUUGAUGGCGACCGGCAAACGGGUGCGGAACACGUACACAACCUUCCUUUAAGUGGGGAAUAGCCCAGGGAAACUUGGAUUAAUACCCCGUAACAUGGUGAGAGGGCAUCUUCUUACUAUUAUAGCAGCAAUGCGCUUAAUGAUGGGUGUGCGUCUGAUUAGGUAGUUGGCGGGGUAACGGCCCACCAAGCCUUCGAUCAGUAACUGGUGUGAGAGCACGACCAGUCACACGGGCACUGAGACACGGGCCCGACUCCUACGGGAGGCAGCAGUAAGGAAUAUUGGUCAAUGGACGCAAGUCUGAACCAGCCAUGCCGCGUGGAGGAUGAAGGUCCUCUGGAUUGUAAACUUCUUUUAUCUGGGAAGAAAAAAGGGAAUUCUUUCCCGUCUGACGGUACCAGAUGAAUAAGCACCGGCUAACUCCGUGC